AUUAAAUCAGUUGCAAUUCAAGCAUUGACCUUCAAAGACGUUAAAAAUUUUUAAAAUUAUGUGUGCGUUACCAGAAGAUUUUACUGUCCAAAGAAGAUAAUACAUCUGUUGCAGCCUAAGAUUUGAAGUACAUAUAGCUUCGGGAGUGCUCAAUUAUUUUUUAGUGUAGAAAUUUUUUUUUAAUAUAUUAGUAAAAUAUUUGUUUCGGGAGUGUUCGAAAUUGUUAAAAUCGCGACCGCUUAAGUCUGUAAUAAAGUAUUAUGUUUUUUAAAUUGAAUGUAUAUCCGGGAGUGUUUAAAAUUUUUAAAAUCACGUGUAUGUGACAAGAAGAUAUUCUCAUUUACAGAAGACGAUACAUCCGCUGUUCCAGGCUAAGAUUUAAAGUACAUAGCAUCGGGAGUGCUCGAUUCUUCUAUUUCAUUAACGAAGUCAUUUUUCAGUAUUGAAAUUUUUUUUUUAUAUUUUAGUAAAAUAUUUUGUUUCGGGAGUGUUCGAAAUUUUUUAAAUCGUGACCGUUUAAAUCUGUAAUAAAGUAUUUUGUAUCUUAAAUUAAAUGUACAUUCGGAAGUGUUUAAAAUUUUUAAAAUCACGUGUAUGUUACAAGAAGAUAUUCUCAUCUAAAGAAGACGAUACAUCUGCUGUUCCAGGCUAAGCUAAUAUCAUCCAGCCACAAUCAUGCGCAUCAAGGAGAGCGGGACAAACAACGAUAUUGUCAAAAUAUAGUAGACAUUUAUGAAUGAAAUAAAAUUCUUAGAGACGAGAACGAAAGUGGAUGGUAAAUGGCGAAUAGCAGGAAUCGGUCAAAAUCACAUUGAUUUUAGAAUUGGAAGCAAAGAAGAAGAAGAAGGGUGAUGCUUCACUAACGAGGAAUUCUGUGACCAAAGUCACCAAUAUAUAAACAGGGACCAACUGUUGUUUGUCUUAAUAUAUACAUAUACAAACAAGGUACAGGCGCAAACCGCGACAACUUAUACUUUUGAAAUUACCAAAGUUGAACGUUGUUAACCAUUCAUUUCAACGUUUCAUGUUAUAGGAUAAAAUAAACAAGGAAAUUUUAAGGAGACUCCUUUACUUUUUGGAGCCAUGUUUAGAGGAACAUUCAUCAGGAAUAAUAUGGUUAAAAGGAUAAUGUUAACAACGAAAUAUUAGUGAUAAAAUAUCUAUCAAAUAAUGAAAAUCAAUGAUAAUAAAUUUAUUUGC